rnacentral:rRNA from 1 species
GUGAAUUGCAGAUUUUCGUGAUCAUUGAAUCUUUGAACGCACAUUGCGCCCUCUGGUAUUCCAGAGGGCAUGCCUGUUUGAGCGUCAUUUCCUUCUCAAACCCCAGGGUUUGGUGAUGGGCGAUACUCCGAUUUUGAGGAGUUCGCUUGAAAUGAAUCGGCAUGAGUUUUUGUUAUGAACGACAGUGUUUAUUCAAUGUAUUAGGUUUAGUCCAUCGUUGAUUGACAUUUGUUGAUUAUUUCAAAGUUUGGCUCUGCCUAACAAAUUUUAUCAUAAAGUUUGACCUCAAAUCAGGUAGGACUACCCGCUGAACUUAAGCAUAUCAAUAAGCGGAGGAAAAGAANCCAACAGGGAUUGCCUUAGUAGCGGCGAGUGAAGCGGCAAGAGCUCAAAUUUGAAAUCUGGUACCUUCGGUGCCCGAGUUGUAAUUUGAAGAAAGCUGUCUUGGAGUUGGCCUUUGUCUAUGUUCCUUGGAACAGGACGUCACAGAGGG